rnacentral:lncRNA from 1 species
UUCAAUGAUAGGGACUUGAUCAAGCGGUUGAUCGACGGCUGCAUUCUGCCUGAAGUCAUCGAGAGGAUUGACCGCACCGAUCCUGAGCAGCGGGUUUGAGACUCCCUGGGGUCCUUUCUCGAGGUAAACAAGUCUUCAUUCAAUCGGCUUUCCGACCCUUAUUCUGAUUCCCCAGCCGUCCUUGCAGAUUGGGUACCAGCUCCUUACCAACAUCGAGGUGAUGAAUCGGGCGAGGAGGGA